UAUAUAACACCUACGAUCUUAAAGGUUGAAGGCACAACAUUGUGCACUGUAAGGCACAACAAUAUGCUCUGGAAGAAGUGACAAUGUGCACUUGAACUCUGGAAAGG